rnacentral:lncRNA from 1 species
GUGCUUGCUGGGUUGGUUGGAAGCGGUUGGCGGGCGGGCGUAUGGCGGCCAGGCCUAGAAGGCCACGGUCGCCGUGAGUGCCUUGGGGGCCAAGCUUUUUGAUGCCCUAAAUCGCCAAGGCAAGGUGGGAAGGUCAGGGACCCCCAUGGACCAUCCCUUGGGCUCAUGAUGGCGGUAGGCUAACUCACUACACAGAGAGGGCUAUCGCCGAGGCACCGCGGAGAGAGGCUUUUCCAGGGCCUGGAGGUGGUGGGCCAGGCCUAUGGAGAAAGAGAGCUUACUGCUCCGAUGCAGACGAGCAGUACAAGAUGGACAGAUUUCAUUUCCCAGAGAUGCUGAACCCUGCACAAGGUGAAAGGCGCACAGUCCCGGACCUCUCCGGACAAGUCGGAUCUGCCUAACCAGCUGCGCGAUACCCCGAUGUGAUCCUAGCUGUCUGCCAACCCAGGUAGCCCAGAAGGGCACCCGUAAAGAACCCUAUACCACCACUGAGUGUCCUCCAAGCACUAUCCACUAUCAAGAAACUCCUUUCUGCGCGGGAAGGUUGGCUUUAGGACGCACGGGAGAGGUGCGCGCGCCCCUUUUCACGAUCUCAGGCCUCCUCGAACCUCCAGAGGUGCUCACCGAGAAGCCGACUCACCCUCUGGCUCUGCAGAGAGUGGCCCCACUGCGCAAGGACUGUUGGGGCCGAAAAGGAUUAACCUUAUGAGGAGAGAAGCUGGGGUCUGAAGACCCCAAUCUCGCCUCGGGGCAAAAAGAAGGGAUGUACCUACCUUCAAACCACUGCGAACUUUCUAAAGCUCCGCGCCUCAGCUUGUGGCUCAUCAUUACUUCAUCUAGCUCACGCUACAUGAGAAAAACAGGUACGUCAGCAAGAGCAUCAUGGCUAGGGGGCGGCCAGAGACCACUGGAUCCUGCUGUUGGACUCGGAAGAACAAGGUAAAACGACCUGCUUGUUCCAGAGCGCGCUUGGAAGAGCCGAUGGACUCAGUUAAAACAGUUCUGCCAACAUCAUAUGGAGCACAAAGACAUUGGUCUAGCCAAUUUUAGGGCACACAGAGAGAGGAAAACAGGACUGUGGGUGCUGGUAAAUGCCCGUUUGAUGGAAACUGAUGCCAGCUGUCAGCAGUGAGGUGGAUGAUGGUUUUUAGUGUGUGUGGGAAAGUGCCUCAUUUUUCAGGGGAAAGCUUUAUGCCCGUGAUAGAGAUGGCAGCCCACAUCCUAUGCACUAGUACAGAAACACCAGGACUGCCCACAUUAUUAAAAACUAUGCAUUACAUAAUACAUAUCUUGGACCAGGGUUCUGCAUUAGCACUGCUCUUUCUUGCAAGAUGCGUUUGAAUCAGCUAUGGACAGUUAACAAAGCAUACGCUUCCGAGCCCCGGUCAUCUGUACAGUUACAAAUUCAUUUCAGCACGUGCUCAGCACGGACUCCAGGAGGAGCAGGGCUGCACCAAAAGACAGCUCCAUCUUGCACUUAGUGCCGAGGUUGAGCAAAUGGAUCUGCACAGAAAAUGCUCUUUAAAAUGCAUUAUGUGCAGGACUUUAAAAAGUGCUUGCUGCAGAGUGAAUUUCAAAAGGGGCCAAGUAGGUGAUGAACGACCUCAGUUGUUACCAGCUGGGGUACAAGGGGUUCUCUGUGUUUGCAGGUAAAUAAAGUGUGGUCAUAUAUUACCUUUAGACUUUCAGGAAGGAGGCUUCUAGACCAGUUGGGCAGGAAGGCAGUUUCCAGUUGCUUACAGUAUCAUAUAGAAGGGUUCUUAUUUGGAUGUAUUGGGAAGAAGAUUCUUUUGAGCUUAGAGGACUGUCCUGUGGAAAUGGCUUCACUAGUUAUUUGACAUAGCUCCAGGGGGCAAAAUGAGGGCCUAGAUGGGUGCUGUGUACAGGUAGGCUUCAGCCCAAGGAGGAAUAUUCUAGCAAGUAGGACUCUGAAGGAGAAUGGACUCGGCGUCGGCAGGAGCUAUGCUAAGUCAAAGGACAGAUGACUACAUGUUAGAUAGAGGUUUCCAUGGAGCUUGUGAAACUGCUAGAGCUAAGACAAGGUUUGACCACGGCCCUCUGUAGUUGCUCCCCCAGGGCUGUAGGAGAGGGCUUGGGGUGGGGGUGGGGGUUUCAAGCCUCCCACUCUGCCUCAGUUUCGUUCUCACUCCUGGAGCCAAGGUGUCAGUCAGGGCCAUCUAUUCAUUACAUUGGCCUCUGGGCCUCCCCUCCUGGAGCUGUCUUGGAAAUUACAAAAUAAAAUUGGCUAUUUAGUGGUCAUGAA